UACAGAGACCUCAAGCGUUAUCCGGAAUUAUUGGGCGUAAAGCGUUCCGAUCGGUGGCUUUGCAAGUCUGCGGCCAAAACUGGGAGCUCAACUUCCAGCUUGUCGCGGAUACUGCAUGGCUAGAGGGGCAAAGAGGUGCUUGGAACGAAUGGUGUAGCAGUGAAAUGCGUUGAUAUCAUUCGGAACACCAAUAGCGAAGGCAGAGCACUGGGUGCCUCCUGACACUGCUAGGACGAAAGCGUGGGUAGCGAAUGGG
rnacentral:misc_RNA from 1 species